CCUACGGGUGGCUGCAGUGGGGAAUAUUGGACAAUGGGCGAAAGCCUGAUCCAGCCAUGCCGCGUGUGUGAAGAAGGCCUUCGGGUCGUAAAGCACUUUCAGUGGGGAAGAAAGACUUUGGGCUAAUACCCUCGUGGCAGGACAUCACUCACAGAAGAAGCACCGGCUAACUCCGUGCCAGCAGCCGCGGUAAUACGGAGGGUGCGAGCGUUAAUCGGAAUUACUGGGCGUAAAGCGCGCGUAGGCGGUCUGAUAAGCCGGUUGUGAAAGCCCCGGGCUCAACCUGGGAACGGCAUCCGGAACUGUCAGGCUAGAGUGCAGGAGAGGAGGGUAGAAUUCCCGGUGUAGCGGUGAAAUGCGUAGAGAUCGGGAGGAAUACCAGUGGCGAAGGCGACCUUCUGGACUGACACUGACGCUGAGGUUCGAAAGCGUGGGUAGCAAACAGGAUUAGAUACCCUGGUAGUC
rnacentral:rRNA from 1 species